GUGGGGAAGGGGACAGAGGAUGUCACCCCCCUUCCCUCAGUCGGUUCACUUCCCUGCAAGAUGCCCAAGGCCACCACAGGUAUGGAAGGUGGCUUAUCAGUUGAGCAGUUUUCCCCAGGAGCCAUCUGAGGCUCUGCGAGGUCAAGUAACACAUUCAAGGUCACAGAGCCAGGAAGUGGUAACCUUGGGUGCUGGUCUCUGAAGCCUGUCCUCCCGGCUGGCUCUUUAAAGAAACAACCUAUGUCCACAUGGUGGUCUCAGGAGCUCCCCUGGGAGACAGCCCUGAGCUCUGCGGGCCAGGGGAGAUCCAAGCUGAGCAGUAUGUCGGCCUUGGUGUUCCCAUCUGGGAAGUGGGCGGCCGCACUGGAGGAGGUGGAGAUGCUUUAGGGGCAUCUGAGGCUACAGGUGCGGGGAACACCUGCAAGGUAGGGGGAGGGGAGGAAGGUCCUUCCUGGACAGGUGCCUUUCCCCUAGCUGAGGGUGGUCUCAGACUGGGUUGGGUCCCCGGCUUGGGGCAGCCCAGGGCAAGGAGCCAAGCCCGGCAGAGCCGGCGGGAGAAUGUAAACACAGGGCCCGGGGCGGCGGGCUGCAGGGCAGGGGGUGCCCUGGGGAGGGCGGAGGGUGUGUCUCCCGGAGGUGGGAGCAGGGCACGCCUCGGGCCGCGCGGAGUCCGGAGGAGGGUGUGUCCCGGGCAGGAGGCACCCGCUCUGUUCCCAGGCAGACGGCCCCCACCCCCAGGUUCGGUGUUGGCCCGGGGCCGGACUGCAGGCCCGGGGCCUCGUGGCCCUGCCUGGAGCCGUCCGCUUAGGCCCGACGCGCGUGGGUCAGGGGAAGGAAACCCGGACACAGGUCCUGGAGUCCAGCCACAGGUGGGCCUCCAUACACGUGAGCCUCGGUCCUGCUGGUCCUCCCCACAGAUGUGCUUCCAUGCGGGCGUGCCUCAUGCAGAUGUUCCCAGGUCUUUCCUUCGCUUGAGCACAAUUUUACGCAGGUGUUUCUCAUACAAGGUGGUUUCUUUUACCUCACAGGUACGUUUCUCAACAAGUGUUCCUCCACCCAUGAAUGCAUUAUACAGUCUCCCUCCCAGUAGGUGUGUUCCAUCAAGCACACACCCAUCUGAGUACGUUUCCAUAGAACUAAGUCCCAUAGUCCCAUACAGGUGUACUUACCCACAGGUGUGUCUCAUACAGGUAUUUACAAUACAUUUCCACGCAGGAAUUCCCGCAGACAAGCGUUGUACAUUUCACAGAUGUGCCAUGCAGAUGCAUUUCCAAAACAGGUCUACACCGCACCACAGUGCCUACUCAGAUGUUUGCUAUAAUGCAGGUGUGUUCUAUACAGAUGUUUUCCACACAGGUGUGCUUCCAUUCAGUUAUACUUUAUAUAGAUGUGGUUCAAUACAGUUGUAGCCUGUAAGCGUUCUUACACGUGAAUCCGUGCAGGCAUCUUCCAUACAGGUUUGUCCCCAUACAGGUCUUGACCACGCGGGUGUUUUUUCGGCAGGAGUGCCUCAUACACGCGUGUCUACGUGCCCCGUGUGUUUUCACACCUGUGCGCUCCUACAGAUGUGCCCGCAGUACAGGUGUGAGGUCCCUCUGACAUCUGCAGGCUUCUUCAUUCUGGGAUUGGCUUUCCGUUACAGGUGCGCCCUGGGCGCGGCCCCGCCCCCUUCUUGGCUCCGCCCUCUCAUCUAGGCUCAGGUGCACAAGCCGGAAGUGCGCUCCCCUCCCAGGUGCCCAGCCGUAGGUACCCCGGGCGCGAGAUGCGGUAGGAGAGGCGAGCGCGAGAAGCCCCAUCCCCGGCGCUGCCAACCCGCCACCCAGCCC